CGCUCUGCUCUGCCUGCAGCACAGCAGCGAGCAGCACAGCGACGUCAUGGCGCAAACAGAGCGCACAGCCAUGGCGCACAGGGGCGGAGCCACGGAGCGGAGCCGGGAGGCGCGCUGUUUGGAAAGGAGCGCACCUCCAGUCCAAGCCUGCCCAUUCAGACCAGAUGAAUGUGUGGCCAUGUCAUUCAUAAGACGCUGUAACAGAGGGAUAGUAACACAUUGUGAGAGUGCUGAUGUGGGCUGUACUGACCUCAAGUGGCUUGAAAAAGAAACAGCCUACAAUGCAGCUAACAAUGGACCGUUGUACAGUAACUGUGUUUGGCAUACAAUGAAGAACGCAGAUGAAGCGGAGUGGAGAGAACAAGACAACAAGCCCAGUGUUGUUGAUACGCAUAUCUUAAUAGACACUUUGUAGUCGGGGAAAUGAUGGAGUAGAUCUAAAAAUACACUCAAAACGUUGUUCUUUUUUUUACAUUCAUCAUCAGAUAUUUAUUUAUUGAUUUUUUUCAACUGUGUUUUUAAUAUAUAAAGGGGCUUAUUUUGGGCUUUUUUGAUGCAUAGUGCAGGGUGUCAAAGCCCACAAUCUGCUGCAUAAUCGUGGAUCUGGAACUAAUCUUGCAUCUUGCUCAAGGGCACUGUGACUUGCUGUCAGAGAACACUGAACCCAAGCUGUCCUGAUUAAAAGCAGUCCCUCUACUCCACCAGA